UACGUAGGGGGCAAGCGUUGUCCGGAAUCAUUGGGCGUAAAGAGCGCGUAGGCGGCCCUGUAAGUCCGCUGUGAAAGUCAAGGGCUCAACCCUUGGAUGCCGGUGGAUACUGCAGGGCUAGAGUCCGGAAGAGGCGAGUGGAAUUCCUGGUGUAGCGGGUGAAAUGCGCAGAUAUCAGGAGGAACACCCGUGGCGAAAGCGGCUCUCUGGGACGGUACUGACACUGAGACGCGAAAGCGUGGGGAGCGAACAGG
rnacentral:rRNA from 1 species